rnacentral:tRNA from 9 species
CGGGGCGUAGCGCAGCCUGGUAGCGCAUCUGCUUUGGGAGCAGAGGGUCGCAGGUUCGAAUCCUGCCGCCCCGACCA